rnacentral:rRNA from 1 species
GAUGAACGCUGGCGGCGUGCCUAACACAUGCAAGUCGAACGAAGCACCUUACCUGAUUCUUCGGAUGAAAGUUUGGUGACUGAGUGGCGGACGGGUGAGUAACGCGUGGGUAACCUGCCCUGUACAGGGGGAUAACAGCUGGAAACGGCUGCUAAUACCGCAUAAGCGCACGAGGAGACAUCUCCUUGUGUGAAAAACUCCGGUGGUACAGGAUGGGCCCGCGUCUGAUUAGCUGGUUGGCAGGGUAACGGCCUACCAAGGCAACGAUCAGUAGCCGGUGUGAAAGGAGGACCGGCCACUUGGGAAGUGAGCCACGCCCAAAACCCCCAGGGGGGGCAGAGGGGGGGAAUAUUGAAAAAGGGGGGAAACACUGAACCCGAAACCCGGGGGGAGGGAAAAAGUUUUCGGUAAGAAAACGCCUCAGAAGGAGGGAAGAAAAGAACGGAACAUGACUAAUAGCCCCCGCCUAAAAAGGCG